GGGAGGGGAGGCGCGGCCGGCUCCUUACCUGCUGGCCGGUGGGGCAUGCCGCGGCGGGCGGGGGCAGCGCGUCCCGGCGGGCCGGCGAGCCCCCCCGCCCCGCCGCCCCCCGCCUCGGCAGAGCGGCUGCCGCCCCCCGGGCCGCCCGCCCCGCCGCCGCUCGCCUCUUCCGCUUUGUUCCGCCGCGGCGGCUUCUCCUCCCGCUCCCGCCGCAGCCGCGGGACCCGUAACAUGUGCCUGGGGAGGGCGGGCGGGCGCCCGGGGUGGCACUUUCGGCGGGGCGGGGAGCGCGGCGGCCGGGCCCCUCCGCCCCCGGCCCCGCGGAGGAACGGGGCUGUCAGAUCCAGCCCAUCUGCCGCGAUCGCAAUCGGUCGCAACUGAAUGGCUCCGGCAAAUCUGCGCCGGCAGCAGGGGCUCGCCGCGGCGGGGGCGGUGGGGGGGGGGGGGGGGAAGAGGCGGGGGCGGCCAUUGUCUGCGGCGGCGGGGCUGCCCCGGGCCCCCCCCGGGGGACGGGGUGUCCGGCCGGGCGCUGCUUCGUCCCUCAGGCCGCCCGUGUGCGCGGGUCGGGGCCGCUCAGCCCCUCCGGCGGGGCGGGAGGAAAGCCCUCGCUUUGCGUGGCCCGCAGUGAAGCACUGAGCUCGAGUGGGUACAGUUUGGGGGAGCGGGGGGGGGGGGCGGCCUCGGCGGGAAAAGGCUUCGGGUGGACGGAGAUUUCGCAGGCGUGCACGGCACGCUUUUAGAACCUCGUGUUUCGUGGAACAAACGGUUCCGAGGAAUCGCUGAAAGCUUUGUCUUCCGGUAGUCAAAAAAUAGCAAAUAAAAAAUUUUGCCCAGUUACAAUAGAUCGCACUGAUGUGCGAUCAGGUUAUUUGCAGACGGCAUACAUUUGAGAACCUAAGUGUAGAGCAGGCAAGAGCUCAGGCAGGAUUUUCUGGUUUGAAUAGAGAAAGUGUGAGAGAGAGGUCUUGGAAGCAAAGUGAGAAAACCUGAGGUGAUUCAAAGGAGAGAUAACCGGGUACACUGGAGUACCCAGUCCAAGUUCAAGAGACUGCAGGAAUCACAGGGUGCAAAGUGAUUCAUUACGCUUAGAUGAGAAUUAAAGGGUAGAGCUGUAUCUGAGAAUCAGAGACAACAAGGAGUACUGGAAAAGUAAAGCUUUAAAAAUUAAGGUGGCAGGAGGUUUGGGGGAUUUUUUGGUUUGGAGGUUUCUGAGAAGAGGAGCGAUACACUCUCACGAAUGUAUAAAUCACUGGAAUUAAAUAUACCACCAGAAAUAACGCUCAGAUUUUCUUAACAGAUUGGCUGUAGCUGAAGACACUGCAUUUUGUAGAGGGAACAUCUCUCUUCCUAUGGUGGUGCAGAGAACAGUCUUUGCAGCCAAAUACAUGACUGUGGUGGAUUGGAUGAACCGGUAACCAGGCCUGAACUUACAUCCACUGGAAUCAAGAGCAAACGAAUCGGUCAUCUACUCUGUAACUAGAAGUGAUUUAGAAUUAAAAAGAACCAGUAUUUGUCUACAAUUUAAAGCUGUAAUUACAACUUGAAAGUAUUUUUUGUGCACAUGGAGCUGUACUGUUCCUGACAACUGAGAUACUGUUCUUCUAUGUCUCUUUAAGAUUAAUAGUAUCUCCGUUUCAUACACAGCAAUAAGUACAUGUUCCAAAUCAUUAAUUAUUUCUUGUCCCUAGGCUUGUGCAAUUUUAUCUAGCAUAGACAUUUACAAGAUAAUACACUAGUGUUCAAACAAAAUUCAUGACUUUGCUUACCAUUGCUUUGGAAUGACACUGAAAUUGCAAUGCUCAUACUUCAAAACACUGAAGUGGAUGAUAGCAUUAGCUCAGUACUGACAAAUGCAAUAAUUACCCAGUGUAGGAAUUUUGUAAUUUUCUGAGAGACCUCAAGCUACUGUUGAAGGGACAGAUGCUUCUUAAACUGACUUCUUAUUCUCAACUGGCAUAACAUACAUGUGGAGGUGAUUUACCUCUGCUUACUGUUGCAUUCUGCAGCUCUUUCAAACAGGAGAUACUUGUGGAAGAGCAGGUACACUGACAGGUUGGAAGUAACCGAUUUGCAUGGUAAUCAAUAAUACCAAAAUAACUGUGUAAUCUUCAAGAGGGUCUGUGCUUCACGGAGAAACUUCAUACUUAAAAAUCGGGGGAAGAAACCUCCACAAAUGUAGUUAUUAACUCACUUGUUGUCCUCUUUUUAAUAGUGAUUAAUUUACUUACAUAUGACUGAAGCUAUGUGAUGUAAUACUAGAUUUUCAGAUAUUUUACCAAAAGGUUACUAGCACUUAACACUAGCAGUGUUCCAAAACUCUUUUAAACAUGAGUAGGGUAGAAAUCGCGUGUACUGACGUCAUUUAUAGAAACAGUUGCUCUUUCAGCCUGACACAGGACAUUGUGCAGUGAGACCUGAGGCAGCGCUGCCCUUCUGGGGACUUUAAUUCAAAUAUCGGGAGGAUUGCCUACAGAUCUGGGAAAACUGCCAGGCCAGGCUAUUACACAAAAAUCUGCACAACAGUAGCUGAUGGGGACAGUCACUGAGCGCCCUGUGCUGGCAGAAAAAAAUCUCAGAUCAGUCACUCAGGGAGAGGUUCCAGAACAAACUGGUCCCCAAUAACCACGUUGGUUUCUCCCAGUACAGACUGGUAAGCAGGACUACAGGAAGACUCACAGCCUGGUUGGUGCCUUGUGCUGACAUCUGUUACUGUCAGCUCCUGCUGCUGCUGGCUACAUUCAUCCUAGAAAAGAUUCUGUAAAAGUUUUCUUUUGAUCUCAGUGGAACUUUACAUCUUUCUGAGUACCUUCUGAAUUGGCUGAAGAAAGAGUCAAGUGCUGCCAUUCGCACAUUUCCACACUGCAGAACAGAAGCAAAAAGACAUCCUGACAUUACUGUCACUGGGAGGACAGCAUUUGGCCAUUUUUCAAGCAUUUACAACAGUGUUACUAGAGGAAAGAAAAGGGAUUGAGAGUGAAUGCCUACAACUUUUGAUCUGUGUUUCUGGACUGAUCUCUACCAAGGCUCUGCAGGAAGAUAGGUACUUCCUUUGCGUUUGAUCUCUCUUCCUCAACCAGGAAGAGUGGAAGACCAUAAAAAUACAGGAAGCCUUACAGGAACCACGCCGUACAUACUUGUUGCUCUCAAAGGGGCUUAAGAGGCUCUCGACUUGCCUGGUAGAGGACGAAGAGUCUGCUGAAUGAAAAACAAUAUUGGAUUUAUUACGGUAUUGUCAGGAACUGAACCAUGAAGAAUUUGAGAGGUAGCAUCAAACUAGCAUCAGACCUCCUCAAGUCCAGGGCAGUACAAGCUUGUGCAGAUUCUGGCAGCACGUGGAAGCAGAUAGGCUUAUCCCUCUGCCAUCUGUAAAGCUGCUACAUAAAUUACAGCAAAUUAAAUAUAUUGCAAAAGCUGGUAUCUCCUUACUGCUAAGCAUUUACUGGAGAUUAAUCUAGGUUUUCUAUUUUUUGCUUAUUUAAGUUACACUCUCUAGAUUCUGAUUAGCUAAUCGAGUGGUAAUAAAACUAAGAGGUCUGUAUUUGCAAUCUUUUACUCAUUUUUGAAAAUAUCAGGGAAAUACCUGCAUAAUCAAGAGUUUGCAGAUCCUGAGCUAUACUGAUUGAAGCAGGAAAAAAAUAUGCUUGAGUCUUUAAUAUCUGAUGAAUGCUGCCUUAUUUUUGAAAGAUUGUCCCUAGUAGAACCCAUUACAAUAAUGUUUAUACAGGUUUAUGCUAUAAAUGCAUUAUAUUUUCCCUUCAGGAGAGUAUGUUGGACUUUACUCCUGAUUAAAAAACAUAAUCUGCGAAUGGGCCAUAUCCCAGAAUAUAGGUUGCUAUAAACAUAAUUAUGCCCUUUUAUUAACACAUAAAGCAAUGGAAAAUAUAAUUUGUUAGCAUAAAAAGGGCUUCAUACAGCAUGCAGAAUUGAUGAGAAGCACACCCUGGAUCUCCUUCAACGUAUGUAAACAGGAGGCCAGCCAAAUCCUACAGAAUUAAAGGAAACUCAGCUGUGAAGUCCCUCCCCACGCUCUUCCAGCCUGAUUACAGUCAGCGUUAGAGCUAAACAGAUCAGGUGAGUCUCCUGGAUAAGGUUUAGCUAUAGAUCUAAGCCUGAUUUCUGCAAAUACGCUCCCGUACAUCAGGGCCUUCAGCUGCCGGGUGUGCUCAAAGCCUGGCAGGAGGCGCUGGCUGUCACAGCAGAAAAUGGGAAGAUGACAGCAAAGGAUCAGUGCACACGUAACACGAAAUAUCUGGAAGAGGUGAUGUCAGAGCAGUAUUUUGGUUGCACAAGUGUCCUGCUUUUAACUCGAGGGGUAUUUGUCCUGUAAUAGGCCCAGCCAGAUGACACAGGUAUCUACAUUCAUGGUUUUCUCUAUAUUAAAAAUCAUUGCACCAGCACAGCAACACUAAUAUACUUUAAAAUAAACUGCCUCAAGAGAACAGGGUAGAGCUCUUCUCUCCUUCUCCCCUUGCUACUACUCAUCCCCUGACAGAGAAGAUGAUUUACAUGGGCUUUUAUACUGCAGAGCAACAAGGUCCAAGGACAAGAGUUGGAGAGGACACUUCCAAAGACAGAUCUUCUCUUCCACGCCUCAUCAUCCUGUGAACUGUAGAAGAUGCUCUCCCGUCACAGAGCCUGGUAAGAUUGUCACCAAGCUUGCUUUAAGCCAUCAAACCCUUCAAAGAUUCCAGCAGUGAUGUGGGAACUGCAUCCCCCAGUUUGGAGUGAACAGGCUGACAACGCACAGUACUGUAACAUGAGAAAUACAACCUUAUUAUUGAUACACUGAACUGGAACACAGGAAAACUCUGGCUUAAACACAGACCUCUUGUACAAGCUCCAGUACUUAGUAUGUUCACAACUAUUUUUCUCUGUAAAAAGGGAAUUAUGUUACUUCUUGUUUCAUCCUUGGGGCUGAGGAGAUGAAAACCAUUUCUCACUUUGUGUGGAACAAUGAGGCCCUGUUCUCACUUGUGGUCUUAAAGUCUUGCUUUAAUGUAAUUUAGAAAAAAUAAAAAUGCUUGAGCAUUACAGAA